AGAAAGAACAGCCCAGGAAGGGGAGGGCUCUAGACAGUACAAAGGCUGCCUGUGGACUCCCUGUUCCUCUUAUCUGUGCUUUGGAUUACAAACAUAACUCUGCUGGGCCCCACAAGAUAGCUCUGCCGAGUUAACUGCCUCAAGGUCAAGAGAACAUCUAAAUCUGCUUGACUGUUCCUGGCUUCCUCAGCAUUCAUGGAUUGGGCUGGGCCAGCCCGGGUCUGGAAGGACUAUGGAUUUUGACACAACAGUACAGGGCCGGUUUCUAGAGGAAGGGGUUUGCUUCUAAAGGUUCCAGGGCCAGCGGCUAGGCUGCCUCCAAAGCAGCCUGAAAGAGUCAGCCAAGACUCAGGCCUUGCCUCUGCUGGAAAGGAAACGUGCUUUAUGAAUCAUUUAGAGUCCUCGCGAAGCUAUUCUGGGACAUGCUUCUCUCCUUCACCCAGCAAACCCACCACAGCAGAGAAUGUAUUGUGACCCACAGAAAUGCAAGGGCAGCCUGCUGGACCUCGCUCCACCGCCCCUAUCCCCCCCAUCCCCCCAUCCCCCCUCACUCCCCCCUUCUCAUUUCUCUUAGGAAUCAGAUCAAGGAGAUUCUGGGAACCCAGUCACCCUCUGUACUUAUUCAGGCACCAGAUUUGGGAUUCUCCUGCUAGAAGAUGACCUCAGGGCACUCCCCCACUUUUGUUUUUGAGACAGGGUCUCUUGUAGGCAGGGCUAGCUUUCAUCUUCCUACUUUUAGCUCCCAAGAGCUGGGGUU
rnacentral:lncRNA from 1 species